CUCUUCCAUAAAUUUUUAUUUUAUAUCUUAACACUCCCCCUCACUUGUGGGCCAGACUUCCCUUCAAUGAGUAGGCCCAACAAGUGGAAUAUUUAAUUAAAUGGGAUAAAGUGUAGAAUCAGGGUUCGAACUCAGGACCUCUGCUCUGAUACCAUGUGAAGUCACCACUUGUCCCAAAAAAGAGCGGAUAAGAGCGAGUGAGGU